CUCUGCCAUGCUAAGCAUUCCUCAAUUAUGAUCCUUCAUCAUCUUAAGAAUACUACUGUGCUGACAGUCAGAAAAACAUGUAGUAUUUGUUGUAAAGACAAUGAGUUCCAAAUGAGUUGGCAAUGUAAGAUAUGUUCAUUCACCAUCUGCUUAGCCUGCUAUAAGGAUAGAGGUGCAUCUUGUCAUGAGCACAAGUUGAAUCAAUGUUCUUCAAGGGAACUUUGCCGGCCAGAAUUAAGAGUUGAAGAAGAAAUUUGAAGUGAUAAUUGGUCAUGCGGUUGCGGAAACUGUUUGAAGUUUUACGGCAUCAACUUCAAUGUCCUCAAUCGAAAAUCAACUGUGCUCUCAUCCAUGGUGUCUUAAAAUGAAAAAGUUGGUCUGUCAUGGAAAUAGUUUCACUGUUCAAGCUUCUCGGGGCUGCCAACCUUGUAAGAAGAUAUGGUGGUUACUAAAUGCACGCACGCUCAAAGCAAUGCAGAGUCAUGAUGUUUGGAUGAAAGAUCACCCAACACCUAAUAACAUUGCAGGAAUCUGAAGAAGAAGCGUUCAGAAUGGACAUCCAUUUAACAACAGACUCAAGAUGUUUAGAUAAAAGAUCACCCAAUACCUUCACACAUUAUUUCUUCAACUGUUGCGUCUGCUUGGGAGAAGGUGGAUUUUGUUGUGUCUACAAAGGUUUGCUCAUAGAUUGGAGAGAAGUGGCUGUGAAGCAGCUUAAAAUUGGUGGUGAGCAAGGGGAACGUGAAUUCAGGGCAGAGUUAAGGAAAAAUAUUCAUAAUCAUGAUGUUGUAAAUUACUGUUGAUGUUGAACUUGGAUCCUACAAUCCAAGGGGGUUGUUCUGUAAGUUCCAGCAAUUGUGCUAUUAUAAGUCCAUGAUUUAGGAUUAAGAACGAUAUAUUUCUUCACCUAAAAUUUGAUCUAUAACUUGACAUGUAAAUUUGAAUUUUUACAUGUCAAAACAGACUAGUUCUGGAUUGACCUACCAGAGUUAAGGUUGUUGCUGGUGCAGCUCGUGGAAUUGCUUAUCUACAUGAAGACUGUAAUUUUUUUCUUUCUAAUUAUUCUCAAAUGUAUAGCUAUCCAUAUAAAGACGACAUUAUCAUGGUAGAUGGUGUUACAUGUUUCUUUCAUGCUUUGAGACAUUCUUUUAAAAUAUAUAUAUUUUGCUUCGGAAUAAGUAUACAAAGUUCUUUAGAAAUUUGGCAACCACAAUUAAGAUGCAAAUCAUAAAUAACUUAUAAAGGAUAUUUUUCUUUCUAUACGACUAAUAGUUAUUAGUUUAAUACUUAAGUUGGGCAAGGUAGGGUUGUAUUAUCAUAAUUUGAUGGCUUGUUCAAGUUCUAAUCAAUACUUUUUAAUCUUUGUUCAUUUCAUUCCUCUCAGGUUGUAGAUUUUAUGAACAUAAUGUAUAGAUCUGUGAUAUAUUAUGCCCUGUUGUUAAGCCUUUUUCAAAAUAUGAAGCUGAGUCAUUGAGAUAUUGAUAAUACUCGUUGCGUUUACUGUUCUAGUUAUGAGCAUAUCUAAUAGAAAUAAUGGUCUGAAUUGCUAGGUACAUGGCACCAGAGUAUGCAACAAGUGGGAAAUUGACUGCAAAAUCUGAUGUAUAUCCCUUAAAUUGACUGCAACAGACAGGACUUGGAGCGAUAUAUUAGAAGGCACUCAGUUGGAAUAGUUUUUGGCUUUUAUUAGAAACUUGAAUUUGUUAGUUAAUUAGUUGUAAAGUCAAUUCAAGAGUGGGUACUAUAUAAUGCAAUGACUUUAUUGUUAUCACACACUUUUAUGCAUUUACAUUUCAUAGAGAGUAACUGAGAGUGCUUAGUUGUGAAAGGGGAUUUUCUCUAUGAAGAGGAUAAUUCCCCUUGUAAUCCUUUCUGACAAUUUAGCAAUA